UACGUAGGUGGCGAACGUUAUCCGGAAUUAUUGGGCGUAAAGGGUCCGCAGGUGGCAGCUUAAGUCUGACGUGAAAUCUCCUGGCUCAACUGGGAGGGGUCGUUGGAAACUGGGUUACUAGAAUAGUGGCGAGGUCGGUGGAAUUCCCGGUGUAGUGGUGGAAUGCGUAGAGAUCGGGAGGAACCUCGAGAGCGAAGGCAGCCGGCUAGCCAACUAUUGACGCUGAGGGACGAAAGCGUGGGGAGCGAACAGG
rnacentral:rRNA from 1 species